CAUGCUUUCAGGGCCCGAUGCUUAGAAGAGGAGCCUUGGUGAGUGUGGCAGUGUAGGGGAGUAGAUUUGGGGCUGAUGGUGGUCACACCUGAAUGGAGCUCAGACUCUCCAUGAAAUAGAGCUCAGGAGACAGAACAGAAGUGAAAGCAAAAGAUGAUUUGAUUUACGAACAUUCAGCGUCACCAUUUCAAGAAAAUAUCUGCUAAUGGAUCAAAGUACUUGAGAAACACACGCAAAGGACUGAUCCCAGAGAAAACCAUCUGGAAGAAGAGUGAACCACCAUGGACUGCAUGGUGACGGAGAGGUUUGGACCGGAGGAGAUCAGGCGUCUGACCGAAUGCCAGAGAGACACUGUCAGAGAGACUCUCAGCUUCUGGAGGGGAGCAUCUGGGGGGCUCACGAGGUGACUGAGCAGGUGAUGGAUAGGGGACCAUGAGCAGGUGAUGGAUAGGGGACCAUGGUUUCUUCCCUCCCUGACGAGGCAGUGAGAAGUGAAAGACAAUCAUGGAGCAACAGUGAUGAAUUCGAAAGUCAGGGCCUCUCAGCGGUGCAGGAAAAGCAGGGCUGUGCCUAUAGUUAUUGAUCACUCUGGAUUUAUCCUGCAUGAUAUUAAGGUAAUGAGAACCAGAGGAAUAAAAGUGAUUUACAGGUAAUUAUGGGCAGAGACUCGCUAAUCUUCUCAUCUUUAAUUUGAGGCAGUAGGAUGGACGGCUUGUGCCUUGGCGUGUUGAUGCAGGCUCCGAACAUCCAGCAAGGACCCAGCCAGGCCAGC